CGCCGGGGCGGGGCGGCGGGAAGGGCGGGGCCGGGAGCACCUGCGGGCCCCGGCGUGCGGUCUGCUGGAGGGCGUCCUGACGGCGCCUCCACCGCGGCGAGUCCGGGCUGUGGCCGGCGGUGGGAAGCAGGCGAGGCGCGCCCGAGGAGAGGGGACGGUGAAGGAAGAAGCUCCAGGGACGUGGGACAAUGGCCGAGAAAAGUAGCGCGAGCUGUCGGGGGAAAUCGGAGGGAAGGGACUGCGUGCGCACCUGACUGCGUCCUGGGGCAGGGGGCCGAGGGCAGCGCGUACUUUACCCUUUUAAAGGUUCACCGCAUUUCCCGCCCAAGUUUAAGCAAGGCGAGAGAAAAAACCAAAUAUACAUUCAUGUGUAUAUAUACACUUUCGUGUCGACAGUUUUAUUUCUGGGAACCCAAUUUGAAGGAAUUUUGUUGAUUUUAUUGCUGUUUAAACAAAAGUAGAGAAGCCCACCAUCUGAAUGCAGCGUUGGCUAAAGGUCAGCGGGAAGACCCUGUCCUGGCCCCAUCAGUUAGCUGUCUCCACUGCAGACUGGGUGGAAAGGCAAAAGGUCGUGGAAAAUGUGAAGGCACACGAAGUCCGGGAUUCAAAACAGCAGACAUUAACCAUGGCACUAGAUGGUUGAGUGACAUGGUCACCAGGCCAGACUCCACAUCAGCACUUUUGCAUGUCUGAAGAUGAUUGAGAAUUUACUUAUUUGUUUUGAGAGAGAGAAAGAGAGAGAGAGAAUCUCAGGCAGGCUCUGCACUGUUAGCACAGAGACCAACCUGGGACUUGAGCUUACGAACCCCGUGAGAUCAUGACCUGAGCCGAAAUCAAGAGUCAGACGUUUAACCGACUGAGCCACCCAGGCACCCCUGUUUUGUUGUAAGUUUUGAAAAUGGGGCAGAAUGCCAAAACAACCUUGUAUCCCAAGGUAAGUUCUACUUGGUCAUUGUCUCAUGCUGCUGGAUUUGAUUUCCUUGUUUAUGUUCAUGUGGCAUAAUGUGAUGACUUUGGCCUCAACGAGCUUGGAAGUGGAUUCUUUUCCAAAGCCUCUAGUUAGAAGCCUGGUCCAACUAAUGCCUUGAUUUGAGCCAUGUGACACACUGAGCAAGAGAGCCCUGUUGAGUCUGCCUGGACUUCUGACCUACAAGAAGGCCUACAUCUCUAAUUACUGGCCUGGCCACGGGACAUCUGAAUCUGGAACACCUGAUCAGCACAUGCCCAACUUGUCGUGAGCGCUCAUGUGACGAUUGAGUGGCCUCUGUGAAACUAGCCGCAAGGUAUUCUGGCACCGUACGGGCCACUACAGCUCAAAUGAGGUGUCUGUCUUGAUGAAGAGCAACCAAAGAGGUAAUAAGGAGUUCUUUAGAGAAGAACUCCAGUUACUACAGACAGAAGGAAUGAUACAGUUAGAAAACCCCCACGCGGGAACACAUGAUGAAAUGAGGAAUCCAGGCAACCACCGUCAGGAAGUAUUAGGUGAGAGGUCAACAGGGAACCUUUGGAUGGGCCACGCUGAUAACACCUGAACCCACUGAUCAAUUUUUACAUCUCUAAAAGUGGGACAGUCAGACAUCAUGUACCUCGUGAUGUAAUACGUCAGAAAGUCCACAGCAUCUGUGAAUCUAAUCCAGCUUACAGGAAAUACAAGAACAGGCUGAAUGACACGAGGAGGAAACCGUCAGCCAAGUCCAGAAGCAACUCGGAGGGAGUCUUUCACCAGCAUCCAGAUGAAGAUCUGAAUUUUACUUUUACCCACUAUAGCAUCACCCGCAUUGCACGUCCUAUCGGCUUUUCCGUGUGGGUCAUUUCCUAGUAAAUUCCUGAGAUGAGUCCACUUUGAAUAUGCCUUUGAAGAAGCCUCAGUCCAAGUAUGUGCAUUUAGGUCCCGUGGGUCCCUUGCUUACCCAGAAUCUGAACAGCCACCGCCAAGGAGUGCAGAGGACACUGGCUUUGAACCUUGCAAGGACUGCUUCACUACCUUCCAGGCUUGGUGAGGGCUUCGGUCUGGCAUUGGUAUUCUGGGAGUACCUGCCUCAAAGGACCAGCGAUUUGAGGAUGAAAUAAGGGAGCCCGUGAAGAGUGCAGAGGAGGUUCAGUCCGGGCCAGCUGUACUAGUCCUGGGAAGUGCAAGCAUCUUUAGAUGCCAUAACAGAAUGUUCAACUCCAGACUUCGUGUGAAAUCAACCCCAAAACGAAGAGACUAAACUUGAAAGUGCAGAGCGCUUGAGCCCUCCUUUAAUGACACUUCACACACUCCCUUAUAGCACCCAGGGGCUUGGGUAAGAGCAUUUAAAAUUUAAAAUGCUCAAUCAGUUGAGCGGCCGACUUCAGCUCAGGUUAUAAUCUUGCGGUUGGUGGGUUCGA